rfam:Entamoeba histolytica HM-1:IMSS scf_1104750516793 genomic scaffold, whole genome shotgun sequence.
GCACGAAUGGUCGAGUGGUCUAAGGCGUCCGCUUUAGGCGCGGAUAUCGAAAGAUGCGUGGGAUCAAACCCCACUUCGUGCA